rnacentral:rRNA from 2 species
GCCUGAUGGAGCAACACCGCGUGAGUGAAGAAGGGUUUCGGCUCGUAAAGCUCUGUUGUUAAAGAAGAACACGUAUGAGAGUAACUGUUCAUACGUUGACGGUAUUUAACCAGAAAGUCACGGCUAACUACGUGCCAGCAGCCGCGGUAAUACGUAGGUGGCAAGCGUUAUCCGGAUUUAUUGGGCGUAAAGAGAGUGCAGGCGGUUUUCUAAGUCUGAUGUGAAAGCCUUCGGCUUAACCGGAGAAGUGCAUCGGAAACUGGAUAACUUGAGUGCAGAAGAGGGUAGUGGAACUCCAUGUGUAGCGGUGGAAUGCGUAGAUAUAUGGAAGAACACCAGUGGCGAAGGCGGCUACCUGGUCUGCAACUGACGCUGAGACUCGAAAGCAUGGGUAGCGAACAGGAUUAGAUACCCUGGUAGUCCAUGCCGUAAACGAUGAGUGCUAGGUGUUGGAGGGUUUCCGCCCUUCAGUGCCGGAGCUAACGCAUUAAGCACUCCGCCUGGGGAGUACGACCGCAAGGUUGAAACUCAAAGGAAUUGACGGGGGCCCGCACAAGCGGUGGAGCAUGUGGUUUAAUUCGAAGCUACGCGAAGAACCUUACCAGGUCUUGACAUCUUG